rnacentral:rRNA from 1 species
GAUGAACGCUAGCGGCAGGCCUAAUACAUGCAAGUCGAACGGGAUUAAGAGGCUUGCUUCUUAUGAGAGUGGCGCGCGGGUGCGUAACACGUAUGCAGCCUACCUUCAACUGGGGGAUAGCCUUCCGAAAGGGAGAUUAAUACCGCAUAACAUAAUUGAGUGGCAUCACUUGAUUAUCAAACGUCAGGGUUGAAGAUGGGCAUGCGUCCGAUUAGGUUGUUGGUGAGGUAACGGCUCACCAAGACUACGAUCGGUAGGGAAUCUGAGAGGAUGGCCCCCCACACUGGUACUGAGACACGGACCAGACUCCUACGGGAGGCAGCAGUAAGGAAUAUUGGUCAAUGGACGGAAGUCUGAACCAGCCAUGCCGCGUGCAGGAAGACGGUCCUCUGGAUUGUAAACUGCUUUUGUUAGGGAAGAAACUUCCGUACGUGUACGGGACUGACGGUACCUAAAGAAUAAGGAUCGGCUAACUCCGUGCCAGCCGCCGCCGUAAUAC